GCCUGAGUGGCUCAGUCUGUUGAGCACCAGACUCUCGAUCUCUCGGUUCAUGGGUUCAAGCCCCAAGUCGGGCU
rnacentral:tRNA from 1 species